GGUCAUCAGGUCUGGUUGCCAGGUAAUCAUACACCAAGCCAGGUGCAUGACGGGAGUAAAAAAUCAAAAUGGCGGACAUUCACUCGAAAAAUCGGCCGAGCAAGAAGAAAGUUUAGUCUUUUUACCCAGAAGCAGCCUGUGUUUGGCCUAGCAGAGCCUGUUGAGUGAUUAGGAUGAGCAUGCGUGAGCUGGCGGACCCAGGAGAUGGGGCGUGGCUGGAGGCGGAGAUCGAGCGGGAGUUGGCUCAGCUCUCACCUGUGGAUAACGACCUGGGGCUGGAGGAUGGGGAGGAUGGGGAUGACUUGGACCAAGAGGAGGAUUUUCAGG